GACGAACGCUGGCGGCGUGCUUAACACAUGCAAGUCGUACGGUAAGGCCCUUUCGGGGGUACACGAGUGGCGAACGGGUGAGUAACACGUGAGUAACCUGCCCACAACUUUGGGAUAACGCUAGGAAACUGGUGCUAAUACUGGAUAUGUGCUACUGCUGCAUGGUGGGGGUUGGAAAGCUCCGGCGGUUGUGGAUGGACCUGCGGCCUAUCAGCUUGUUGGUGGGGUAGUGGCCUACCAAGGCGGCGUCGGGUAGCCGACCUGAGAGGGUGACCGGCCACAUGGGGACUGAGAUACGGCCCAGACUCCUACGGGAGGCAGCAGUGGGGAAUAUUGCACAAUGGGCGCAAGCCUGAUGCAGCAACGCCGCGUGCGGGAUGACGGCCUUCGGGUUGUAAACCGCUGUCAGCAGGGACGAAGCUUUUUGUGACGGUACCUGCAGAAGAAGCACCGGCUAACUACGU
rnacentral:rRNA from 1 species